CUGACUAUCCUGCUUUGACUAUUAUUAAUACGUCUGAUGAAAGCGACAAUCAGACGAGUCGUAUUUUUUUUAUAGCCAACAAGUCGUUCUUCACACUCCUUGUCUUUUGAUUGUUAACAAAAUGUUUAUCAAGGCUGAUAGGGUCAAGUUUAAGUUUGACCGAUCAAUUAUUGAAUUGGCCAACUAACCACAUACAUCUCAAUCAUUAUUGGCAAUGUAUUGGUGUAACAUCUUCUGGUCUAAUGAAUCUAUAUCAUUUCAAACUGUGCCCUUGAUUAUUCAAAUGUAAUCGUUCUCAACAGAUGGUUCAAGCAAUGUUGUAGAGGAAACACACAAGUAUCAAAUUCUCAACCAUCUUUAUAACAAUAAUCUUCUUUUCGAUGAGAACUGACCGUUUAAAUAAACAAUAAAUAACCAAAUGAAAUAGAUGGCAAGUUUUAUAUUAAGACUGACCAAUGAACUUUAAUCCGAAUCUUAUGGGAAGAUCGAGGAUACUGCAAAAAUAAACAAACCGUACUGUAACUUAUCUGGCAGAUGAAAAAAAGUAUACACAUAAAGCAUUUAUAAACCAAGUAAUCAGGAAACAAUGAUGUGGAAAAGACACUAAGAUGGAGAGACUAAAAAGAGAACUGCUUAAUAUCACAAUGAUGCUCAGUCCACUCACGUAGGUCAAUCUCAAAUCAACCAAUUUUGAGUAAAGUGAGAAAUUGACGGAAAAAUUGGAUCAAAUUGAGGAUUCAACUAACCAAAAACCAGGCUGUGAAGUGAAAAGCUACAAUCGAGACAUGAGUAACAAUCAUUACGGUGAAAGUAGCAGAUAUAAUUCAGGAGAAACCUUUUGAUCAAUUGAAACGUAUUUUUGGUGUAAAGCUUUUGGUUUUGAUCUUGACGAGGUGCGAUCAAAGAUAUCAAUUAUGAUCAUCAAAAUUGUUUAUCAGUUUCAUCUGUUAUAAAAGUGUUAAAAGUGAUUCUUCAUGAAACAUAUCAAAGGUUGGCUUCAAGUUUACGUCUUUGAACAACAAUAUCUUUGGCAAGAUGAAAGGUAUCAUCAAGCUGAAGUGAACUGAAAACUGGCGAUAAAAUGGAAGCAUCAGCAUCUUCUGGAGCUAAUCUUCGUGGAAGUAAUAUUCCGCUCGAUAAAUUGAGAGUCAAUAGGUUAAUCAAUAUAAAACUUGUUAAUAUUUGGUGCGACAUGGUGAUAAGAUUGUCCCUGGUGAAACAAUCAAAGAUACACACAAAUUACACAACCACAAAAUGGCAACAAUGCUGGUGACAACAAAGGUUGUAAAGAUUGGUACAAAGACGAUGAUGAUAAUGGUCCAAUAUAAACGAAACUUGAGUGAAAAAUCACGAAGCGAAAUUUAAAACAAUAUUUAAAGGGAAAAAAACGAUGAAGAAAAAAGGAAAUCCAAAUUCCAGAUUAAAAUCUGGUUACAAUUCCAUUAUUGGGAAAAACAUUCACUUCCAAUGGUUUUUAAUUGAUGUUUACUGAUUGAAAUAACCAAAAGAAGAAUAGAGAAAAGAAUUAAUGGUUUUUUAAAAGAUUAAUGGAGAUAUCAAGUUAUGAUUAUUGGUCACUUACAUUUUUGCCGGGAAACAAAGCAAAAAAAGAUAUUCAUGUUAAUGGUCAAACGGUAAAGUCGAAAGUGGACUUGAUUCAAGAUUUGACUUUGCUAUUCUUCCUCAGAUCGAUGUGAAGAAAGAGGGAGGAAAAAACGACUUGAUGAUGAUGAUGUAGAGACGAGAGAAAGAGGUUCGAGAGAGUGAGAUGAAAAGAGUGCGGGAGUAAACCAAAUUUAGGCUAAUUCGAGAUGAGGCCAGAAGAGAAAGCGAAGAUAUGAAAGAGAGAGAAAAAAAUGGUGAGAAAAUAAUGAUGAAGAAGCAAAUCUUUCUCUUUCUCUCCUGUCUUCUCAUCUGUCUUUCGUUUUCUUCUUCUUAGUCAUCUUUAUCAUCAUGAACGGUCUUCUUGUUCCAAUUGAAUGAAACGUGCUAACAAUCAUGAACCCGUUCGGAUAAGUCCAGCAACAACUUUUUUUUCCAGCUUUUACCCAUCAUCUUAACCAUCAUCUUCAUCAUUAUCAUGAGUCGCUUUGAUAUUGAUAAAAGGAUUUACCUGCGAUUUUUUUACUUCUUCUCGUAAUCACCAUCUAUUAACAAUCUUUUCAACUUUUAAGCUAAUCAUCUUUAUAACAAUCAUUGUUUUUAGACAUUUUAAUCUUACCUUUUUUCUCGCUUUUUUUAGCCUCAUCCAUAUUGGUCAAUUGUUGUCUACCUGAAUCAAGGUUAUCACCAUUUUUGCCGUGUCAAGGACAAUAAAGAAACCUGAUAACCCGGAACCAUUUUUGAAACAUUCAUCUCUUAAAGCUUUGGUCACUUUGACAGUAACUCUUUCUAAUUACGUGAUUUUGAUAUUUAACCAGUUAACAAUUAUAAGCUUAAUGGAAACCAAAGAUUUAUCAAGACAUCUACACUUAUUUAGAAGACCAAAAAAAGUUGGGUGAUUCACGAUUUCAAAAAGGGAUUGAAAAACGAUUGCAAAUGCGAAGGAUGAGAAUCAAAUAUAUUGGUAAAUGGUUGUAAUGACUUAUUUACCUUGAUUAUUAAACAGUUUUGUUUGACCUGGACUAAAUGGUUGCAAUUUAGGUGUCAUCCAGCUGAUUAGAAUUAGAUAAAAAUUGAAAGGAAAUCAAGCAGAAUUGAACAAUUCUUUGUGGACCCAAUUGAUUAACACGACACUUUCUUAAUGGAUAACAUGUAGCAGCCGAGAAACGAGUAGCUUUAUCAUGGCCCAUAUUCAUCUUUGUCAUCAUCUUAUCACCAUGAGUCCAUUAAACUUCAACACCAAACCUGAACAACAUUAACUUAUCUACUGACACCAACUCAUUCCCAAGAAGUUUUGAAGAGCUUGGCGUUUGUUGAAUUUGCUGUUAACCUUAUGGAUUAAACAAUUUGAUAAUACCUUUCAAGAGCUUAAUCCAACUGAUGAUUGGUUGAAACGGAAAUCAAGCCUUUGAUAAUUAUGAUGGCGUUGAUGGCGACCAGAGUGCAACAAGAUGGAUGCCUAAUGAUGUUGAUGUUGAAUACAAUUUUGGUUUAAUCGAUUUCCAUCAGUUUAUUUUGAUUAAUCAUUUUGUAAUCGUAAAACAUCCUGUUUAUGCUAAUUCUGGUGGAAGACGAUCAAAACAAUCAUCAAAUAUAAAGAGGAUCAACAUUUUGAGCCAGCCAUUCUGUAUCAACUGAAUAUUCAUUAUUCAGUAUAACAAAGUAUUUCACCUUUUUUCUACAUUCCUCAGCUCACCAUUUUUGGGUUUACUUAAAAUUCAAAUUGCAAACACAAUCAAAGCUGUACAUUAUGAACCAGAUGAAACAUUAUCCUGAUUAACAGUCAAGCUUUAAUCAACUAAUCAAUGGAUUAAAUUCAACUUUACCUGGAAUAAUGAUAAACACAAGUUGAAACAACAGUUGAUUACAAUGCUUGAUUGGCCUUAACUGGUGUUGACCGGAGGUACAAAUUAGUAACCCAUUAUUUGUACAUUUUAAUGAUAAUAAUUACAUUUUCCCAGUCGAUUCGUAUUUUUGGUGAUUGAUGAUUCCAAAUGUAACCUCAAUUUUCUGACUUAAUUAACAGCUGAUACAAGCACAAUUACUCUGUCAAUCAAAAGCCAUUCAAAAAUAUUGCCUUUAUUGUGCCAAAUGGAAGCUUUCCUUGUCUUAAUUCAACUAGAUUGUCGUCAACAUGACCAAGUAUCAACUUUGAGCCUUAAUUUUGCCAAAGCUCAACACAAGUUAAUUAUCAAAAUUAUACUUUAAAAUAUUUCAGAUUAAAAUCUGAAUGAUCGAUAGUUACGAUCAGUUUCUCAGCAUUAUGAAAGCAACCAAAAAAUGAUUGAAAAUCAGUUAAUCAAUAUGUAUUUACCUUAUUUAAUCAAUUCACCUUUAGGUUGUUAAUAACCCCAAGUUAAUUAUCAUUACUGUUGAUUAUGAGUUGUGUUUUUGUUGGUUUUUAAUUUUUGCUUUACUUUUCAACUUAAAAACAAAAUAAUGAUAAUAAUUCAACAUUUACUUUCUACUCAUUUGUUUAAUGAAAAUUAUUUUAUUGAAACACUUUCCUUUUCCUUUCCGAUUACAAUUUAGAUAGCAAUGAAUUUGUAUGGAAACAAGAAAAAUGCUCAUUUAAUUGCAAUUUUAACAAACAAAUUUUUACCUCUUCUAUGAUUAACCCUUAAUUAGUGAAUGUACCUCAAACAGAUUGUUUCAUUAACUCUUCCUUUAAUAUGCCUUCAACUUUGAUACAAAACAGCAAAAUAUUAUCAUCAAUACCAUAUAACCUUCACCAGGUUCACCUUAUUCUGACUCUGAUUUACACCAAAUUAAUGUAAUCCUGAAAAAUUUAUACUCAUUACCAUUAAAUUGUUUAACUUUCGGCCUUA